CCAACUAUCUAAUGUGCAUCUUGAGAGGAAUGUCAACUAUCAAUAGCUUGCAGGAGACGAACUUAACUGCAAGUAACCCAGUGAAAAUCAGGCAAUAGCCUAACGACAGUUUGCGCAAAAAUGACAGCGGCGGUAUUUGCAAACACAAUAGGAUGUGGAGGAGGAGCAUAUUGUCAUGGAGCAAGCAAUGGGUGGUGUGGCCAUGGCCCCACGCGGUUUAAAAGAGGAAGACAGAGACUCCACUAGGCUCAUCCCCUGAACUUGGACAAGUUAUGCAAGAGGAGCCUAGAGCUAAAGCAUCUGUUAAGAGCAAACAUUUCACGAUCUGGCGUGUCUUACGGACUUCCCUGACCGCUCGAUCUGUGCAUUCUACUAUGCGGGCCUGAGCGAGCGGUGUAAGGCACGCCUCCCAGCGAACGGUCCCAGAGAGGAUUUCGCGGCUUUCGUGGAGUGGGUACUGGAGAACAAUGGAUCCCGAUUUACCAUCUGCACCGCCGAAGAGGAUAUCUACAGCCCCACUCCCGAACCAGAGACCAGCCAGCCACCAUCCCGCUGCACGGAGCUAGAGCCCACCGCAGCCGCAGAGCCCGAGCCUAUCACCGACAGGGAGCAGGAGCUCGAGAGCGCGACUGACCAGGUGUGUGAGCCGGCAACACCGUGCGUCAUGGGACGAUUGGUGGAGAUCGAGGGCAUGGAGGAAAGCCCUGCUCACAUUCCUGCGACUGAGGGUGAGCUGCAUUUGGUUUCUGGGAAUUAUAGAGAGGAAUUAUUGGACCUUAUAGACUGGUUUGGCGAGGCAAUUCCCUAUCCUCCUGUUUCUCCGCUGGUUCCGCCCAGCCCUGAUCCUCCUGUUUCUCCGCUGGGUCCGUCCAGCCCUGACCCUCCUGUGUUCCCUCCCAACCUCCC